rnacentral:rRNA from 1 species
ACGGAGGGUGCAAGCGUUGUCCGGAUUCACUGGGUUUAAAGGGUGCGUAGGUGGCUUUGUAAGUCAGUGGUGAAAUCUUAGAGCUUAACUCUAAAACUGCCAUUGAUACUGCUUAGCUUGAAUCAAGUAGAGGUGGAUGGAAUAAUACAUGUAGCGGUGAAAUGCUUAGAUAUGUAUUAGAACACCGAUUGCGAAGGCAGUUCACUAUGCUUGUAUUGACACUGAGGCACGAAAGCGUGGGGAUCAAACAGGA